rnacentral:rRNA from 1 species
UACGAAGGGGGCUAGCGUUGUUCGGAAUUACUGGGCGUAAAGCGCACGUAGGCGGAUAUUUAAGUCAGGGGUGAAAUCCCAGAGCUCAACUCUGGAACUGCCUUUGAUACUGGGUAUCUUGAGUAUGGAAGAGGUAAGUGGAAUUGCGAGUGUAGAGGUGAAAUUCGUAGAUAUUCGCAGGAACACCAGUGGCGAAGGCGGCUUACUGGUCCAUAACUGACGCUGAGGUGCGAAAGCGUGGGGAGCAAAGCAGG